rnacentral:rRNA from 1 species
UGAUGCAGCACGCCGCGUGUAUGAUGAACGUUUCGGUGCGUAAACUCCUUUUAUUAGGGAAGAUAAUGACGGUACCUAAUGAAUAAGCACCGGCUAACUCCGUGCCAGCAGCCGCGGUAAUAAAUCUGUGCCAGCAGCCG